CCCGUUCCCAUUCCGAACACGGAAGUUAAGCCCUCCAGCGCCGAUGGUACUUGGCCCCUGUGGCCCGGGAGAGUAGGUCGCCGCCGGGA
rnacentral:rRNA from 1 species